rnacentral:rRNA from 1 species
UACGAGGGGGGCAAGCGUUGUUCGGAAUUAUUGGGCGUAAGGGGUGCGUAGGCGGUUUUGUAAGUUUGGGGGGAAAUCUUCAGGCUCAACUUGAAGACUGCACGAGAAACUGCAGGGCUUGAGUGUGGGAGAGGUGAGUGGAAUUCCUGGUGUAGCGGUGAAAUGCGUAGAUAUCUGCAGGAACACCCGUGGCGAAAGCGGCGCGCUGGACCACUACUGACGCUGAGGAACGAAAGCUAGGGGAGCAAACAGG